rnacentral:rRNA from 1 species
AUCCUGGCUCAGGAUGAACGCUAGCGGCAGGCUUACACAUGCAAGUCGAACGGUAACAUAGAAAGCUUGCUCUUUGCUGACGAGUGGCGAACGGGUGCGUAACACGUAUGCAACUUACCCUAUACUGGGGGAUAGCCCGGGGAAACCCUGAUUAAUACUCCAUAAUAUAAUUCAUUCGCAUGUUUGAAUUCUUAAAGCUCCGGCGGUUAAAGAUGGGCAUGCGUGACAUUAGUUUGUUGGUGAGGUAACGGCUCACCAAGACCACGAUGGGUAGGGGGUCUGAGAGGGUGAUCCCCCACACUGGUACUGAGACACGGACCAGACUCCUACGGGAGGCAGCAGUGAGGAAUAUUGGACAAUGGGCGCAAGCCUGAUCCAGCCAUGCCGCGUGCAGGAUGACGGCCCUAUGGGUUGUAAACUGCUUUUAUACGGGAAUAAACCUCUCUACGUGUAGAGAGCUGAAGGUACCGUAAGAAUAAGGACCGGCUAACUCCGUGCCAGCAGCCGCGGUAAUACGGAGGGUCCAAGCGUUAUCCGGAUUCAUUGGGUUUAAAGGGUCCGCAGGCGGGAAAAUAAGUCAGUGGUGAAAGCCCACAGCUCAACUGUGGAACUGCCAUUGAUACUGGUAUUCUUGAGUAUACUUGAAGUAGGCGGAAUAUGACAUGUAGCGGUGAAAUGCAUAGAGAUGUCAUAGAACACCGAUUGCGAAGGCAGCUCACUAAACUAUUACUGACGCUCAGGGACGAAAGCGUGGGGAGCGAACAGGAUUAGAUACCCUGGUAGUCCACGCUGUAAACGAUGAUCACUCGCUGUUGGCGAUACACUGUCAGUGGCCAAGCGAAAGCAUUAAGUGAUCCACCUGGGGAGUACGAUCGCAAGGUUGAAACUCAAAGGAAUUGACGGGGGCCCGCACAAGCGGUGGAGCAUGUGGUUUAAUUCGAUGAUACGCGAGGAACCUUACCUGGGCUUAAAUGUAUUUUGACAGGCUGGGAAACCAGUCCUUCUUCGGACAAUUUACAAGGUGCUGCAUGGUUGUCGUCAGCUCGUGCUGUGAGGUGUCGGGUUAAGUCCCAUAACGAGCGCAACCCCUACCCUUAGUUGCCAGCGGAUAAUGCCGGGGACUCUGAGGGAACUGCCGGUGCAAACCGUGAGGAAGGUGGGGAUGACGUCAAAUCAUCACGGCCCUUACGUCCAGGGCUACACACGUGCUACAAUGGCGGAUACAAAGGGCAGCUACCUGGUGACAGGAUGCGAAUCUCGAAAGUGCAUCUCAGUUCGGAUCGGAGUCUGCAACUCGACUCCGUGAAGUUGGAAUCGCUAGUAAUCGCGCAUCAGCCAUGGCGCGGUGAAUACGUUCCCGGGCCUUGUACACACCGCCCGUCAAGCCAUGGGAGCUGAGGGUGCCUGAAGUCGGGUAACCGCAAGGAGCUGCACUAGGGUAAAAUCAGUAACUGGGGCUAAGUCGU